rnacentral:rRNA from 2 species
GACGAACCGUGCGAACGUUAUUCGGAAUCACUGGGCUUAAAGCGCGUGUAGGCGGGACGACACGUCCGACGUUGAAAUCCCCCGGCUCAACCGGGGAACGGGCGCGGAUACGAUCGUCCUGGAGGGGCGUAGGGGGACCUGGAACUUCCGGUGGAGCGGUGAAAUGCGUUGAGAUCGGAAGGAACGCCCGUGGCGAAAGCGAGGUCCUGGACGCUUACUGACGCUGAGACGCGAAAGCCAGGGGAGCGAACGGG